rnacentral:rRNA from 1 species
UACGUAGGGUGCAAGCGUUGUCCGGAAUUAUUGGGCGUAAAGAGCGUGUAGGCGGCCCGAUUAGUCCGCUGUGAAAGUCCAGGCUCAACCCUGGAAUGCCGGUGGAUACUGUCGGGCUAGAGUCCGGAAGGGGCGAGUGGAAUUCCUGGUGUAGCGGUGAAAUGCGCAGAUAUCAGGAGGAACACCAAUGGCGAAGGCAGCUCGCUGGGACGUGACUGACGCUGAGACGCGAAAGCGUGGGGAGCAAACAGG